CGUCAAAAGCUCGUAGUUGGACUUCUGGCCUGGGACUGCGCCCCUCUUCGGAGAGGGUGCGGACUCGGGUCUUCCUCUCGUAGUUGGAUGGUGCACUUAACUGGGUGCCUUCUGAAUAUGGGACCUUUACUUUGAAAAAAUUAGAGUGUUCAAAGCAGGCAAUCGCUUGAAUACAUUAGCAUGGAAUAAUUGAAUAGGACUUUGGUUCUAUUUUGUUGGUUUCUAGGACCGAAGUAAUGAUUAAUAGGGACAGUUGGGGGCAUUAGUAUUUAAUUGUCAGAGGUGAAAUUCUUGGAUUUAUGAAAGACUAACUACUGCGAAAGCAUUUGCCAAGGAUGUUUUCAUUAAUCAAGAACGAAAGUUAGGGGAUCGAAGACGAUCAGAUACCGUCGUAGUCUUAACCAUAAACUAUGCCGACUCGGGAUCGGGGGGGUGAAUAUAACCUUCUCGGCACCGUAUGAGAAAUCGAAGUUUUUGGGUUCUGGGGGGAGUAUGGUCGCAAGGCUGAAACUUAAAGGAAUUGACGGAAGGGCACCACCAGGAGUGGAGCCUGCGGCUUAAUUUGACUCAACACGGGGAAACUCACCAGGUCCAGACAUAGUAAGGAUUGACAGAUUGUGAGCUCUUUCUUGAUCCUAUGGGUGGUGGUGCAU
rnacentral:rRNA from 1 species